CAAGCGAGAGACACCAUCUUAAAACGUCAUUGUCGUUAGUUGAUCAUCAUGAAUCGAUUCAUCGUCCUUAUGUUGGUAUUGUGUGCAUUCACCCUUACACAGAGUGCAGGACCCAAAUUCCGCGAACAUGGGAAACGAUCACAUGAAGAGAAGAAGGAUUUGGGAUUAAAUAGGCGAAACGUGUGCUCCCCAGAAUGUCCAAGUGAACAAACCUGUUUCAUGAAUGGAAAAUGCUUGUAAUUUUUUAGUGAUACAGUCCAAAUCACAAAUGACAUCCCGUAAAUCGCGUCAUUGGUGCGUCAUUGACGCGCUACCCGGCGCGCAGGUCGUUCUCAAGUUGCGCGAAACAAACAUGGAGAGAUUAGCGCGUCACUGGUGCAUCAUUGGUGCGCGCACUGACGCGAAGCAGGACGGAGGUCAAUUGUGA